rnacentral:rRNA from 1 species
AACGAACGCUGGCGGCAUGCCUAACACAUGCAAGUCGAACGAACCCUUCGGGGUGAGUGGCGCACGGGUGCGUAACACGUGGGAACCUGCCCUUAGGUUCGGAAUAACAGUUAGAAAUGACUGCUAAUACCGGUUAAUGUCUUCGGACCAAAGAUUUAUCGGCGUUGGAUGGGUCCGCGUAGGAUUAGCUAGUUGGUGGGGUAAAGGCUAACCAAGGCGACGAUACUUAGCUGGUCUUGGAGGAUGAUCAGCCAGACUGGGACUGAGACACGGCCCAGACUCCUACGGGAGGCAGCAGUGGGGAAUAUUGGACAAUGGGGGAAAGCCUGAUCCAGCAAUGCCGCGUGAGUGAUGAAGGCCUUAGGGUUGUAAAGCUCUUUUACCUGGGAUGAUAAUGACAGUACCAGGAGAAUAAGCCCCGGCUAACUCCGUGCCAGCCGCCGCAGUAAUAC